rnacentral:lncRNA from 1 species
UACCGUAAACCAUCAACUAGAAUACGGCGCAAAUGAAGGUUCCAAUAUUUUCAUCUUUAUCUUUUCUUUUAAUAGUUCAACCAAUUUAGGUAAAUGUACCCUCGAUACUGGAAUCGGUCUUAGAUUCCAAGGUACAUGUGGUACAGUGAAGAUAACCAUAGGUGUUACAAUAUUUGGAUCCACACACCCAAUUUCAUGAGAUUUGAAGGCAAAUGAUUUACCAUAUUUAGCCAACAUCUUUUUGAAGCAAGUAAUUUCCUCUGGUAAUAAAGAACCAUCAGAACCAAUCUUCAAUUCUUCAAAAGUCUCUUUAGUAAACUGAUGUCCAAUA